rnacentral:rRNA from 1 species
AUUGAACGCUGGCGGAAUGCUUUACACAUGCAAGUCGAACGGCAGCACGGGUGCUUGCACCUGGUGGCGAGUGGCGAACGGGUGAGUAAUGUAUCGGAACGUAUCCAAUAAUGGGGGAUAACUAACCGAAAGGUUAGCUAAUACCGCAUACGCCCUACGGGGGAAAGCAGGGGAUCUUCGGACCUUGCGUUAAUGGAGCGGCCGAUAUCUGAUUAGCUAGUUGGUGAGGUAAAGGCUCACCAAGGCUUCGAUCAGUAGCUGGUCUGAGAGGACGACCAGCCACACUGGAACUGAGACACGGUCCAGACUCCUACGGGAGGCAGCAGUGGGGAAUUUUGGACAAUGGGGGCAACCCUGAUCCAGCCAUUCCGCGUGAGUGAAGAAGGCCUUCGGGUUGUAAAGCUCUUUCGCAAGGGAAGAAACGAUACAGUCGAAUAAACUGUGUUAAUGACGGUACCUUGAUAAGAAGCACCGGCUAACUACGUGCCAGCCGCCGCGGUAA